rnacentral:RNase_P_RNA from 1 species
GUAAGCUAUGCGAUAGCUGGAUGGCUUUACAUUCAGAGGAAAGUCCGAGCAUCACAGAGCAGGAUAGCUGCUAACGGCAGCCGAGGGCGACCUUAGGGCCAGUGCAACAGAAAUAUACCGCCUUUAAAGGUAAGGUUGGAAUGGCGAGGUAAGAGCUCACCAGAAUACAGGAGACUGUAUUGCUAUGUAAACCCUAUCCGAUGCAACUCCAAUGGUAGAUAUUUAAGUCAAUGGCUGCUCGUCAGGCUUAUAUCUAUAGGGGGCUUGAACCUUAUGGCAACAUAAGGUCUAGAUAGAUUAUCGCACACGACAAAACUCGGCUUAUCGGCUUAGUC